CCUACGGGUGGCAGCAGUGGGGAAUAUUGGACAAUGGGCGAAAGCCUGAUCCAGCCAUGCCGCGUGUGUGAAGAAGGCCUUCGGGUUGUAAAGCACUUUCAGUGGGGAAGAAAGCCUUGGGGCUAAUACCCUCGAGGAAGGACAUCACCCACAGAAGAAGCACCGGCUAACUCCGUGCCAGCAGCCGCGGUAAUACGGAGGGUGCGAGCGUUAAUCGGAAUUACUGGGCGUAAAGCGCGCGUAGGCGGUCUGAUAAGCCGGUUGUGAAAGCCCCGGGCUCAACCUGGGAACGGCAUCCGGAACUGUCAGGCUAGAGUGCAGGAGAGGUAGGUAGAAUUCCCGGUGUAGCGGUGAAAUGCGUAGAGAUCGGGAGGAAUACCAGUGGCGAAGGCGGCCUUCUGGACUGACACUGACGCUGAGGUGCGAAAGCGUGGGUAGCAAACAGGAUUAGAUACCCGUGUAGUC
rnacentral:rRNA from 1 species